rnacentral:lncRNA from 1 species
CGGCGACACAGAGAAACCAUUCUUGACUCUUUUAUUCAUCAUAUUAUGGAAGAAGGAAAGGCCGUCGAGUUGAAAAACCGGCAACGGAAGCUUUAUAUGAACAAUUCCGGUGAGAGUUGGUGGCAUAAAAGUAGUUGGAGACAUGUACCUUUUGAGCAUCCAGCCAAUUUCCGUACUCUGGCUAUGGAUCCGAAGAAGAAACAAGAGAUUGUGAAUGAUUUAGUGAAGUUUAAGAAUGGGAAAGAGUAUUAUGAGAAAGUGGGAAAAGCUUGGAAACGUGGGUAUCUUCUGUACGGUCCACCAGGAACAGGGAAAUCCACCAUGAUAGCUGCCAUGGCGAAUUUUAUGGAGUAUGAUGUUUAUGAUCUUGAGCUGACGUCUGUUAAGGAUAAUACAGAGUUGAAGAAGUUGUUGAUCGAGAUUUCUAAUAAAUCCAUUAUUGUGAUUGAGGAUAUUGAUUGUUCACUUGAUCUUACGGGGCAACGGAAGAAGAAGAAGAAAACAGAGGAGGAGGAAGAUGAAGCGAAGAAGGAGAUUGAGAAGAAGGCUAAAGAGGAAGAGAAGAAAGAGAGCAAAGUGACGCUCUCUGGGCUGUUGAAUUUCAUAGACGGAAUUUGGUCAGCGUGUGGUGGAGAGAGGUUGAUUAUUUUCACGACGAAUCACAAGGAAAAGCUUGACGAAGCUUUGAUAAGAAGAGGAAGAAUGGACAAACAUAUAGAGAUGUCUUAUUGUGGUUUCGAAGCAUUCAAAGUUCUUGCAAUGAAUUACUUGGAUGUUGAAUGGGAUGAUUCAUACGAUAAAAUUAAGGAGAUGCUAAAAGAGAUAGAAAUGACACCGGCAGACGUGGCGGAGAAUUUGAUGCCAAAAUACGAAGGGGAAGAAACAGGCGAGUGUUUCAAGAGAUUGAUCGAGGGACUUGAGGAUGCAAAAGUGGCAGCUGAGAAGAAGAAAGCAGAUGAAGAAGCUGAAGCAGCAAAAAUGGCAGAGAAAGAGAAGGAGAAGAAGGAAAAAGAGGAGGAGAAGAAAGCUGAGGAAGAAGCAGAAGCUGCUAAAAAGGAAGAGGAGAAGAAGAAGGAAGAAGAAGAAUCGGGCGAGAAGAAAGAAUGUAGUAAAUGCAAUGGGGUAGCAACAAGAGAGGUGAAGGAGAAUGGUCAUGUGGAGAAGAAACAGAACAAUUGAAAAAGAAAAGCAAUGUACGAGCUUGAUGUAUGAAAUUGAAGGUUUAGAUUAGUUUAUUUGUAGAGUCGAUUGGUGUGUUUAUAAAAAAAUGGUUCACUGAUUAUCCGUUGCCAUAUUCUAAUUUUUGACAAAUAUAUAUAUAUAUAUUUCCUCCAUCGAUGGAAUUACCCCAGAAGACCCUACGGUUUUUUUUCAUAGCCAAUUUGUUUUGAUAAAAUAUUUAUACAAUAUAAUAAAAUUUUAGAUUAAAAUAUUUUAUUCUAUAUUCAAAUGAGAAACAAAUAAAAUUUUAAAAUAAUUAUUAUAAAUUUUCAAAUGAGCAUAAAAUAUAUAUAAUUGAGUCAAAAUAUGGGUGUGCUUAUAUAUUAAAUUAUUUUGAUAUAUAGAGAAAUAAAAUAAAGGUAGACCAUAUGUAUAGUAUAUUCAGGAGAAUUUUAAAGCUUCACAAUGCCAAGAGUCACACUCUAUACACAAUCUCUCUCUUACUAUAUGUUUGUUAUAGUUGAAAUUAUUCUUUAUCAUAAUAUUUUAUAGGUUGUUGUUUUUAAAUAUAGCAAAAUAAAUUAAAAAUAGAAUAAAGAAAAUCUAGAAAAUGAACUGUACAAAUUUGGAAUAGAAAAUGAAUAAAUGGCAAUAAAGAAAUGAUAAAUUGUUCGAAAUCUAAAAUUUAUGAAAAAUGUUUUACUGACUUUAUUGGUUUUUCGUUUUUGUUACACGGACCAUAACUAUUUUGAUCUUUUGUUAUAUUUAUGAAAAUUAAUCUUUUUAAAAACUUAUCUUAAGAAAAAAUAUAACUUUGGACAAAAUUAAUUCAUAGUACCUAAUUUGAGUAUUUGUCGCCCCUUUUUAAAUUUACAAAACUUCUUUUGAGUAACUAAUCCAAACAAAGCUUAGUUCAUGCUAAUUGGCACAGCCAAUCUAAUCCAAAAAAUUAUUGAUAUUAUUUUUAAUAUAUAGUAUAUUUUAUUUAAUUAGUCUUUUAGGGUUUUCAAUUCUUUUUUUCUCAAUAAUUAGAAACCACCCAAUAUUAACUAUAUUUUCCACUCGGACCAUCAAAUUGGUCGACUUCGACCGUUUCAGUCCGUUUAAAGCGAUGUUUUCAGUGUUUCCUCGUAAUAUAUCUUGUGGAAAAAUAAGAGCUUAUUUGUUAGAGAAUCCAAAUUUUGUUUUAUGUUUUUAGAUUCACUGUAGUAGAUAUCCAUUUGGCAGAAAAUCUAUAUUCUAUUUAUGAAUUUAGCAGACAGUCGAGAUUCUUUUUCUAAAAAUUAUUUUUGGAUUUUAAGAUUCAAACAAUGCAAAUUUUGAAAACAACACGUUUUUAUAUUUUUAUUGUAUCUAGAAUCUAACUUUUACAAUUAAAAAAGCAUAAUUAAAUUAAUUAUAUUUAAAAUAUCUAAAUGUUAUAUAAAUUUUUAGGUGAAAUUACAAAUUUGAUAGAAGAUAGAAUUGAGUGGUUUAUAACUUGAAUUUAGUUGAUUUAGUUCACUAAAAUCAUACAAAAUAGUCUUACUUGUCAUGACUAACUUUUUACUGAAGUUUUCAUGACUAACAUUUUACUAAGGUUCUCAGACCAUAAUAUUAUAUUUGAUAUUUUAUCAAACUAUAAGUUAAAGUUUAAAUUUCUCCAAACAAUAUGUUCUACCAUUGCAAUGUAACUGGUUUUGUAAACAUAAAUUGUAUUCAUAAAUAAAUUAAUAAUAUCUAAUUCUCAAUUAAGAUAAUCUUAAUGAAUAAAUAUAACUUUAAGAAGUAUAUAAUAGGAAACAUAUUUAGACAUUUUUUAAAACUAGAUAUCAAUUUUACAUAUUUGAAAACAGAUAAUAAGUUUCUGUUUUUGGACAUCCAACGAGCAUCUUCUCUUCUGGUAAAGUCGAGCAUUAGUAUGAGCAUGAUGUUGCUCUUCAAAUAUUUCUUUUGCAGGGGGUUUAGCAGCCAUGAAAACAUAAAUUAAUACAAACCAACUUUCCUUAAUUAAUAACUAAACUAUAAGUCUAUAAUAAUAAUAAUGGUGACUCCUUAGUAUUCUUAAACAAAGACUUCCCACUCUUCCACAAAUUCCCCUCCUCCACUCCUCCACUCCUCCACUCCUCCUCUCCUCCUCUCCUCCUCUCCUCCUCUCCUCAUUCUUCUUAUUUAAACCCCCUUUUCCUUCUCAAAUUCUCCACCAAUAAACCUUUUAAUUCAACAAUUUUCUCAAACAAACAUGACUCAAUUGGCCAUGGGACACCUCUGGAACAAUAUCGGCUCUUUAAUGGCCACCGCCAUGUUCGUUUGGGCAAUCAUCCAACAAUACUUCCCUUACCAUCUCCGUGCCUACAUCGAACGAUACGCUCACAAGUUUAUUGGGUUUCUUUAUCCUUACAUCACAAUCACUUUCCCUGAAUACACCGGCCAGCGUCUCCGGAAAAGUGAAGCCUUUACCGCUAUUCAGAAUUACCUCAGUUCACGAACCUCAAUUCGAGCUAAGCGUCUGAAAGCAGAGGCGGUCAAAGAUAGCAAAUCUUUGGUUCUUAGUAUGGAUGAUAAUGAAGAAGUUAUUGAUGAAUUUCAAGGCGUUAAGAUUUGGUGGACUUCCCGUAAAACCGUACCCAAGACUAAGAAUAUAUCUUACUUCCCGGCUUCCGAUGAGAGACGGUCUUACAAAUUGACGUUUCACCGGCGACACAGAGAAACCAUUCUUGACUCUUUUAUUAAUCAUAUUAUGGAAGAAGGAAAGACCGUCGAGCUGAAAAACCGGCAACGGAAGCUUUAUAUGAACAAUUCCAGUACGAAUUGGUGGGAUAAAAGUAGUUGGAGACAUGUCCCUUUUGAGCAUCCAGCCAAUUUCCGUACUCUGGCUAUGGAUCCAAAGAAGAAACAAGAGAUUGUGAAUGAUUUAGUGAAGUUUAAGAAAGGGAAAGAGUACUAUGAGAAAGUGGGGAAGGCUUGGAAACGUGGGUAUCUUCUGUACGGUCCACCAGGAACAGGGAAAUCCACCAUGAUCGCUGCCAUGGCAAAUUUCAUGGAGUAUGAUGUUUAUGAUCUUGAGCUGACGUCUGUUAAGGAUAAUACAGAGUUGAAGAAGUUGUUGAUCGAGAUUUCCAAUAAAUCCAUUAUUGUGAUUGAGGAUAUUGAUUGUUCACUUGAUCUUACGGGGCAACGGAAGAAGAAGAAGAAAACAGAGGAGGAGGGAGAUGAAGCGAAGGAGAUUGAGAAGAAGGCUAAAGAGGAAGAGAAAAAAGAGAGCAAAGUGACGCUUUCUGGGCUGUUGAAUUUCAUAGACGGAAUUUGGUCAGCGUGUGGUGGAGAGAGGUUGAUUAUUUUCACGACGAAUCACAAGGAAAAGCUUGACGAAGCUUUGAUAAGAAGAGGAAGAAUGGACAAACAUAUAGAAAUGUCUUAUUGUGGUUUCGAAGCAUUCAAAGUUCUUGCAAUGAAUUACUUGGAUGUUGAAUGGGAUGAUUCAUACGAUAAAAUUAAGGAGAUGCUAGAAGAGAUAGAAAUGGCACCGGCAGACGUGGCAGAGAAUUUGAUGCCAAAAUACGAAGGGGAAGAAACAAGCGAGUGUUUCAAGAGAUUGAUCAAGGGACUUGAGGAUGCAAAAGUGGCAGCUGAGAAGAAGAAAGCAGAGGAAGAAGCUGAAGCAGCAAAAAUGGCAGAGAAAGAGAAGGAGAAGAAGGAAAAAGAGGAGAAGAAGAAAGCUGAGGAAGAAGCAGAAGCUGCUAAAAAGGAAGAGGAGAAGAAGAAGGAAGAAGAAGAAUCGGGUGAGAAGAAGGAAUGUAGUAAAUGCAAUGGGGUAGCAACAAGAGAGGUGAAGGAGAAUGGUUAUGUGGAGAAGAAACAGAACAAUUGAGAAAGAAAAGCGAUGUACGAGGAUAGUACAUUUUAGACUUUAUGUGUGUGUAUGCGCAUGUCAAUUUAGUGGGUCAUUGAAGGUUUCUAUUUGAAUCGAUUAUUGUGUUAAUAAAAAAAAAAAUGGUUUGUAACAAUGCAGUGGCCAAUGCUCAUGGAUUGAUUAUAUUAGGUAUGUUAUGACUUCUACUAUCAUUAAUUCUCUAAUUGUCAUAUUCUAACCUGAAUUUAGACUUACAAAACUGGAUGUAACCACGAUAGAGUCAGGUUGAAGGAUGAAUAACAAAUGUUUAUGACAUAAAAAAUAUAUAUUUCUUCCUUUGGUUGAAGUAUAUAUAAAUUUCAACCAAAGAAAAAGUGAAUGAUGGAAUUACCAAGAAGACCUUAUGACCUGUAUGUUUUUAAAAAGAUUGUAUUAAUUGCCAAGUAUGUGUUAACAGCCAAAUAUGUCAUUUUUGCAUUAGCUAGGUUAUUUAUCAUUUUGGUAAGUUUCAAGGGUAAAUUUUGAUUUUGAUUGAUUUUGAAAUUUGCUUUCCAUUUAUAAUUUGUUGUGAAAAAAAAUGGUGUAAGAAUCGGACAAAUGUGAGAAAAUGAGAGUAGUUCUAAAGAGAAAAAAAAAGAUAUCUAUAUAAUUUGUUUAAAAUAUAACCUUUCAAACUCAAAGAAAAUUUCAAACAAAUUGAUUCACUAUAUUAAUCAUAUAAGUAUUUUUUUUGCAAAGAGGAAUACUAAUGACGUUUUAGAUGAUAUUACUAUUUGUGACGCAUACUGAACGCAAAGAUAUUUUUUAUUUUUUAUUUAUGAUGAUGAAUUUAUAUUGAGAAAUACACAUUUUAUAUAAUAAUGAAAAAUACAAGGGAAAUUGUAAUUAAUAACUAUUUUAGAAAUAAUAAUUAAAUAUAUAACAACAUUUUUAAAAAAUUGCAAAUAUAGCAAAACUAUCAUGGAUAGACUUGUAUAUGGUCUAUCAGUGAUAAACCCAACAUAAUCUGUCAGAUAGACUCAUAUAAUUGGUAGAAUUUGACAAAUUUUGUUAUAUUUACAAUUUUUUUAAAAUGUUACUAUAUACUUAAUUAUUUUGAAUCUAAUUGCUAAAUUUGCAACUAUCCCAAAAUACAAAUGCAUAUGUAAAAAAAAAAAACCUAAAUAAUGAUCCAAUAAAAAUAAAAAUAUCAAAGAGAAAAAAAAAAAGAAGAUAAAACUUAAAGACUCACAUUGGUAUAUAUGAUUAGGAAUUUUAAUAGUAUAUUGAAUAUUUUAAAAAGUAUAUAUUAUAAAUAAUAAAAUUUUACAUUUUAUGUUAUAUUUUAUUUUAUUUUAGUAUAUUUAAAUUUGAAACACGAAAUAAAACUUAAAAACUUUUUUAAAUAGAUAUAAAUAUUUAAAUAACAUUAUGUAUAGAAAAUAUAUGUAAUAAUUAUAUAUAUUCGUUUAUUAUAAAAUUUCAAAUGAGCAUAAAAUAUAUAUGGAGUCAAAAUGAGCGCUUACUAUGAACCUCCUCCCAUAGGUUAUUUUAAAAAUAGACUAAAUGUGUAAGGGCAAAUAAUUGCAAAAAAAUAAUGUAUAGUAUAUUCACAAUGGCAUGAGUCACGUCAAUAUUUUUGGGUAGAAAGAAAAAUGAUACAUCAUCUUGCAUGCUAGCUUUUGAGUUAUUGUGUUCACACGUAGGGAGUCAAAAGAAACUUGGUGUAUCAAUCUAUUGCUUUUCCAAUCAUUUUUUACAAUUAUAAUUCAUUAUUUAAUACCACUUUUUUUUUUUAAAACUACACUUUCGUAUCCAUUUCCUUUCGAGGUUACAACAAAAUAAAAUAAUAAUAAUAAUAAUAAAAAAAAAAGGUAUGACUCAUUCUUAGUUGAUUGUUGGUUGGAUGUUGUUGGCAUUGGGUGAUGGGCCUCUUGGGUACGUUUAACGCCUACUAGGGUGCAUUAUACAUCAAGUUUGACACAAAGUCUCUCUCUUACUAUAUGUGUGUGACAUCAUCUUCAUUCGUAUGCAUUUAUGUGCAUUGUACAUCCCUACCUUUUUUUUUCUUUAUUUUCUUCCUUUCAACAACCAUUCAAAAUAUGACACCUACCUUUACUCUUUUAAUUUCUUUAUAUUAUCAUUUUCACUUAUAUCCAAUCAACCUUUUUAAUUAAAAGCCAUAACCCUUUUUAAUAUGUAAACUAUCAUUUUUAAUAUUAAGAAAGAAAAAAAAGAUUUGUCUUACACACGACAACUAUAAUUUUUAAUUUCACCCAAUUGUUACUAAAAUAUUAUGGAUUUAGUUAUUAGGGUUAUGGAAUAGCUAAUAAUUUUAGGAAUAAUAAUCAAAUAUACAACAAUAUUUUUAAAAUGUAAAUAUAGUAAAGUUAAUGAUUUAUUAGGGUUAAACAAAUAUUUUCAACACAAGGAUUCUUAACGAUAGAUCAUUGCUUCUAUAAUUUAUAGAUUUGGACGGAUUUUACUAUAUUUACAAGUUUUUAAAAUGUUGUUAUAUAUGCUAAAAAUUUGAAUAUAAUUGCUGUAAUUGUAAUUUAUCAUUUAUCAUCAUCUUUUGUCACUAGACUUAAAUUUUUUAAACAAAAAUAAACAAAUGCCAAAUUAUACCCUCAUUUUCUUGCAUUUCUCAUAAUCCAUUUCUUCAUCAAUCAUCAGCACGCAGCCUCUUCUUCUUCUUAAUCGUCUUCCUGUGGCUUCAUCAUCUUUCACUUCUUCCUCUUCUUUUAUGUGAAUUAGCAUCGUUGUCUCUCCUUGUUUUUCUUCUCCAUUCAUUGUUUUCUUCUUUUUUCUUCUUUGAUUGAAUUGACGUCAAUCGGGAUUGGAAAAGUUCUUCUUUUUCUUUGAUUCAAUAGUUAGACUUUUCUUCUUCUCGAACUAGUUGGGAUUUGAAUUUAGAGUCUGUGAUAAAUUUCCAUAAUUUUUUACCACAGUUGUCAUUAAUAGACAGUAACAUAACGAUAUUACUAAUCUAUCAGGUCCCUCCUUCAUUCUCAUUCUAUUCCUCAAGACAUUGAAAGCAAUAGGUCAUUGAGAGGGAGAGAUGAGUGUUCAAAUGGUAUUAACUAAUAGAUUGUCACCGAAAGCAAAAAAGUGAGAGAUUGGGAGAGGAGAAGAUAUUGUGUUUGAUGGAAUUGGCAUAUAAAUCAUCACCGGAAAAGCAAGAUCGAGAGCAAAAGAUUGAGAGAAGCGAUGAUAUUACGUUCAAUGGUAUAUCCACAAAUGGAUUGUCAUCGGGAGCGAGAGUAAUAGAGUUUAUUUAUCACUGAUAAAAACAUGUGGGAUAAGAAGAAGAGGAACAAGAAGGAGUCUGCUAGAGAGGAAGAGAAGAAGCUGUUGGAGAGGGAGAUGAAGAAGAAGAAAUGUAAUAAAUAAAAUGAAGGUUGAAGAAGAUACGUUAGUGAAGUUAUGAUUCACAUGCAGUUGAAGAAUGGGCUUUGGAUAUCUUUCAAUCACGCCAUGAAGAAGAAGAUGUGAGAAAUCUACAAAAACAAAAAUCUAUUUUUGUAAAUAAUUUAGAAGCAAUUGCCAUUUUUCAAAUUAGAGCUCUUAGCCUAAUUAGUUUUAUAAAUUAAAUCUAUGACACCAUUUUUUCAUUUACGAAAAUGGCAAAAUUUAAAUCCAGUCUACAUUUAAAAAUUGUAAAAUUACAAACCUAUCAUCUAGAAUUAUAAGCAUUUUCACAAUAACACUUAAUACACAUAAUUGGUUUAAUACACUUGAUAUAUUGUUGAUACAUUUGUUUAACAACUUUGCAAAUACACUCAAUCAAUUAAAUACAUUGAUGCACUAAAGCAUAAUACAUUUGUUGCAUUGUCGAUACAUUUGUUAUGAUUUGUUCAUACACUUGUUUUGUCUUGUUCAUACACUUGAUGAGUUUAAUACACUAUCUAUAAGUUUGAUACACCAAAAUACACUACUGAUAAACAUUUUAUACUUCACUGAAUUAGAUCUCAAUGUCUUAAACUCAAAAUUAGUCUUGACAGCGGAAUGACUUCAACAAAAUUUAUUUACUAUGUACAAAACAAAUCUUUCUCCUUAAAAGCCAAUUCAUUCUUAAUAGUGGUAAUAUAAACAUCUUAAUUAAAAAUUGUUAAUUCACCAACCCAAAUCAGUCUCAACUAUGAAAGAAGAAGUAGAAGAAUCAAUUAAACAUCCAAAAAUGUAUAUAUAAAAUGAUCGACCAAAGAACAUUGCAUGCAUAGAUUGAUCCUUAAUUAAUGUCAGAAACUAAGUCACAUCUUUAUCUUCAAUAAUCUUAAGAACACGAUGAGCAUCAUUACUACCUAUAGGAAACAAAACUGAAAAUUAUAUACAAUGAUUCAACUUGAAUUUUAGAACGUAUCAAGUUCACACAAAAAAAGAAUUAAAUGAUGAUAUCACUUCAUCAACCAAAACACAAUUUGUUUUCUAAUAUAUCCACAUAGCAUAGUCGCUCAUCCAUUGAUCACAUGAAAAACAAUAUUACUCCAAGCUUAACCAUAAAUACGAUGAACUACAACAAUUUUGAAGAAAUAAAAAAUACUUAGUAAGUAUAUUAGUCAACUAAUACAUAUAAUAUAAGUACACCAUAUCACUGGUAUAAACAACAUAUACAAAUUUUUAUAUAUAAAAAAAGAACCAAAUAUAAAUAACUAAAACAAAGCUAUGCAUGCAAAGCCCUUUCAAUAAAAGAGAUGAGGAACAAAUAAAAGAGAUGAGAAAGAAUAAAUUGUAGCCUCAAUUUCAGAUAGAUGGUGAUCGACUCACAGAAGAAGAAAGAAAAAAGAUGAUGAUCAAAGUCCCUUAUCAAUUUUGGACACCAAAAUAUAGGAAAGAAUAUUCGAGUAAAAAAGAAUAUAGGAAGAAAUACAUACCUGAAGAAGAACGGUGGGGAAGAGAGAGAAGAAGAUACGUAGCGAAAAGGAAAAAUCCAGAACGAUGGAGAUUGAAGGAGUGACGGAGAAGACCACGAAGAGGGAGAAAAAGUGACGAUAACAUGAACGGUAAAAAAAGAAUUAAAAAGUGAUGGGAAAGGAUUAAAAUAAAAAGAGAAUGAAAGAAAAGAUAAAAGAAUUGAUAUUUAGAGAUGGACAUUUUUUAAAUAAAGAAAAAAUUAAAAUAUAAAAUAUCAACAAAAAUUAGAAAGUUGUUAUAUUUGUAAAAUUGAAAAAUUUAGUGCUAAAAUUGCUAAAUAAUAUUUUUAUUGUAUAGCUCAAUGCAAUUUCUCUUCAAAAAUUUUCUUCAAAAAACUAUAUAACUUUCGACAAAAUUAAUUCAGAGUAAAUAAUUUGAGUAUUUGUAACCUUUUCUAAAAUUUACAAAACUUCACUUAGGUAAACGUUAAUGAAGAUUUUCUCACUAACUAAUCCAAACUAGUAACCACUUAGUUACUGCUAAUUGGCACAAUCAAUCUGAUCAAAAAUUUAGGAAAUUAGGUUGCAUCAAACAAUUUUAAAAAAAUAUUUAUGAUUCAUGUAACAAAAAAAUAAAACCUAUAAUUCAUGGUUAUUUUUUUUUGUAAAUUUCAGAUUUAUCUUUAUUGGUCAGUAUGGGACAAUUCUUCACUUUUUCUUUUAUUUUACGACAUUUAUUCAUCUUCUUUUCAUAUUAUUACUCUCUUUCUUCGCAUUCUCAUUUCUUCUCGAGAGCAAUUUUUAAUUUUUUCCUUUUUGUCAUCUCUCAUCUCUUUUUCCUUCUUUUUUUUCACUACAUGAUCAUCUAAAAAAAUCUAAACGAUCAAUUGUCUAUCUGAGAAAAACAAAAAUAUAUCAUUAUUCAUCCGAUAAGUGAUAGAUCUAAACGAUAUUGAUACAUGAUCUAAACGAUUGUGUACCUAUAUAUAAACAAGAUCAACAAGAUCGUGUAUCAAGAUCGUUUAGAUUUGGUACAAGAUCGUCUAUCCGGAUCUAAACAAUUGUGUACCAAUUUCUAAGCAAUUUUGGUACAUGAUUUAAUAUAAGAUCAUUUAGAAUUGGUAUAAAAUGACUUACCACGGUCUAUCAUAUAUUAAGAUUUUCAUGUGUGUCACCAAUAAUUGAAAGGUAUUUUUGUUAUUUCAGACCGUGGGCUUUUCAACCUUUUUUGUUUUCAAAAUUGUUUCAUAUGAAUAAAUAUUUUCUAUUUGUGAAAAAUCUCCAAAGAUUAUUGAUAUUACUUUUGACAUAUAUUUAUCUAAUAAGUCAGUUCGGGUUUUCAAAAUUUCUUUUGAACAAGAAACCAGCCUAUAUUAAUUAUGUUUUCCACUCGGAACCACCAAAUUGGCCGACUUCAACCGUUUCGAUUAGUUUAAAGUGAUUUUUUUCGGUGUUUUCUUUACUCGACUCAUAAUAUAUAUCGAAUAAGAGUGUGUUUGGUAGAAAAAGUAAAUUCUAUUUUAUGUUUUUGGAUUCACUAAAUUCAGUCGAUAUGUGUUUGACGAACAAUCUACAAUUUAAAUAGUGCAAAUUCUAAAAGCAGUAUUUUGUUAAUGUUUUCGUUGUAUCUAGAUUUUGACUUUUACAUUUUAAGAUGAAGAAUUAAAUUAAUUACAUUUAAAAUCACUAAAAAUACUAUAUAUAUAUAUAUUUGUGUGUGUGAUGUGAUGUAAACUCAAUUCAUUUUAAAAUGUAAUAUGUAUUAUGUAAUGUAUUAUAAAUUAUAUAAUAAUACAAAAUAACACAAUUAUAUAAAUUUUUAGGUUAAAUUAUAAGUUUGGAUCCAAAUAGAACUUAGUUAUAUGAUUUCUAACUAGAACUUAAUCCAUUUAAUUUUAUAAAAUCACAAAAGAUAAUCUCACUUGCAAUCACUUUUUAAUAAGGUUGUCAAACCAUAAAGAUUAUAUAUGAUUUUUAUCAAACUAUAUGUUAAACUCUAAAUUUCUCCAAACAAGCGGAACUAAAAACUUAAUUAAAAAUUAAAAAUUAAAAAGGAAAAUAGAUGAUCGAGCCUUGAUUGUUGAACAAUUUAAGAAAAAUAAUUAAUAAGCAACACUCCCCCACCAAUCUAAUUUUCUUUACUCUUUUUUAGUUACAUUCUUAACUAAACUUUAAUUUAAAAUUAUUAAUUAUGGAUUUAAGUUGGAUUGUUUUCUUGAAGGUUUGAUUGGUUUUUUUUUUUUGUUUUUUUAUUAGUCUAUACAAAUUACUCCCAAAGGUUUGAUUGAAGGUUUGAGAAUUGCUGCCACCAAAAGAAAUAUUAUUUUAGCUAAUAUAAAAUAAGAGAUUCCACUACUAGACCUUCAAAAAUAAAAUUAAGAACUUGCAUGUAUUUUUCAUUAUGCACUGAUAUUAAGAUACAAAAUGCGAUUGAUAUGGAUGAUUGAUAUGAUAUAUUAAUCACAUGAUAAUGACGUUAUGAUUGAUAUCUCCAUGUCAUACUAUGAUAUUUAUGGUAUGUUACAGGCUAUAGAUAACUGUUAUGUUAUCUAUAUCCAAUCAUACAGUCUUCAAUUGAUAUAAAAUGAAUACAUUAAAAUGAUAAAUAUCCAUAAAUUAAAAUGUUAACGAAAACAUAAAUUUUAAAAUUAAAAAAAAAAAAGUUAAAAACAAAUUUCAACAAUUUAAAAAUAUAAAUAACACAAUUUAAAAAAAUUUCAACAACAAUAAGAUAGAUUCUCAUCAAAAAUAGAUUUUUAGUUGGAGAGAGAAAAAUAGAUUAGUGUUAAAUUAAAAAUUAAGAAUUUAGUUUUAAGAAAGAAAAAUAAAAUUAAAAUCGAAUAAAAAAAUUAUAUGAAAAAAAAAAGUAGAAUUUAAUUUUAAAGAAUAAAAAUAAAAUUCAUAAAGUUUAAAAAAAUACAUGAAUUUUUUCUUUAAAAAAUAUAAUUUAGUUUUCAAGAAUGAAAAAUAAAAUUUAAAUUGAAUAAAAAUAAAUCAUUUAUAUGGAAGAUAAAGAAAAAAAGUUGAAUUUAUUUUAAAAAAAAACAAAUUGGAAAAAGAAAAAAAUUAAAUGAAAAAUAAAGGAAGUAGAAUUUAUUUUUGAAGAAAAUAAUAAAAUUCAAAUUGAAUUAGAUAAAAAAGUUAUAAAAAGAACUUAAGAAAAAGAAAAUUUUAUAUGAAAAUUAAAAAAACAAAGUUGGAAAAAAAAAAUUGGGCGACAAUGAGAGAGAAAAAAAGAAAAAGUAAUAAACUCUACUUUUGUAAUUAGUUUCGAAACAGAUGAAGUUUUGUAAAUAGUUUUAAAAUGAACCAUAUUAAUAUAAUUAUACCUUUAGCCGCCAUGAAAACAGAAAUUAAUAGAAACGAACUUUCCUUAAUUAAUAACAAAAUUGUUAUCAUAAGGUUUUACAAAUUCCACAUAUACCGACGAAAAUGGUGACUCUCAGUAUUCUUAAACAAAGACUUCUACUCUUCAACAAAUUCUCCUCCUCCUCCUUAUUUAAACCCCCUUUUCCUUCUCAAAUUCUCCACCAAUAAACCUUCAAAUUCCACAAUUUCCUCAAACAAACAUGACCCAUCCCAUGGGACAGCUCUGGAACAAUGUCGGCUCUUUAAUGGCCACCGCCAUGUUCGUUUGGGCAAUCAUCCAACAAUACUUCCCUUACCAUCUUCGUGCCCACAUCGAACGAUACGCUCACAAAUUUAUUGGGUUUCUUUAUCCUUACAUCACAAUCACUUUCCCUGAAUACACCGGCGAGCGUCUCCGGAAGAGUGAGGCCUUUACCGCUAUUCACAAUUACCUCAGUUCACGAAGCUCAAUUCGAGCUAAGCGUCUGAAAGCAGAGGCGGUCAAAGAUAGUAAAUCUUUGGUUCUUAGUAUGGAUGAUAAUGAAGAAGUUAUCGAUGAAUUUCAAGGCGUUAAGAUUUGGUGGACUUCCAGUAAAACCGUACCCAAAACUCAGAGUAUAUCUUACUACCCUACUUCCGAGGAGAGACGAUUUUACAAACUGACGUUUCACCGGCGACACAGAGAAACCAUUCUUGACUCAUUUAUUAAUCAUAUUAUGGAAGAGGGAAAGGCCGUCGAGCUGAAAAACCGGCAACGGAAGCUUUAUAUGAACCAUUCCGGUGAGAGUUGGCGGCAUAAAAGUAGUUGGAGACAUGUACCUUUUGAGCAUCCAGCCAAUUUCCGUACUCUGGCUAUGGAUCCAAAGAAGAAACAAGAGAUUGUGAAUGAUUUAGUGAAGUUUAAGAAAGGGAAAGAGUACUAUGAGAAAGUGGGGAAGGCUUGGAAACGUGGGUAUCUUCUGUACG